rnacentral:rRNA from 1 species
AGAUUGAACGCUGGCGGCAUGCCUUACACAUGCAAGUCGAGCGGCAGCACGGGAGCAAUCCUGGUGGCGAGUGGCGAACGGGUGAGUAAUACAUCGGAACGUGCCCAAUCGUGGGGGAUAACGCAGCGAAAGCUGUGCUAAUACCGCAUAAGAUCUACGGAUGAAAGCAGGGGAUCGCAAGACCUUGCGCGAAUGGAGCGGCCGAUGGCAGAUUAGGUAGUUGGUGAGGUAAAGGCUCACCAAGCCUUCGAUCUGUAGCUGGUCUGAGAGGACGACCAGCCACACUGGGACUGAGACACGGCCCAGACUCCUACGGGAGGCAGCAGUGGGGAAUUUUGGACAAUGGGCGAAAGCCCGAUCCAGCCAUGCCGCGUGCAGGAUGAAGGCCUUCGGUUGUAAACUGCUUUUUGUACGGAACGAAAGUCUCUUUCUAAUAAAGAGGAUCAUGACGGUACGAAGAAUAAGACACCGCUAACUACGUACG